GGGUAUGUAGCUCAGUUGGUAGAGCAACUGACUCUUAAUCAGUCGGUCGAGGGUUCGAAUCCCUCCAUACCCACCA
rnacentral:tRNA from 1 species